UGUCGUCAGCUCGUGUUGUGAAAUGUUGGGUUAAGUCCCGCAACGAGCGCAACCCUUAUCCUUUGUUGCCAGCGGUCCGGCCGGGAACUCAAAGGAGACUGCCAGUGAUAAACUGGAGGAAGGUGGGGAUGACGUCAAGUCAUCAUGGCCCUUACGACCAGGGCUACACACGUGCUACAAUGGCGCAUACAAAGAGAAGCGACCUCGCGAGAGCAAGCGGACCUCAUAAAGUGCGUCGUAGUCCGGAUUGGAGUCUGCAACUCGACUCCAUGAAGUCGGAAUCGCUAGUAAUCGUGGAUCAGAAUGCCACGGUGAAUACGUUCCCGGGCCUUGUACACACCGCCCGUCACACCAUGGGAGUGGGUUGCAAAAGAAGUAGGUAGCUUAACCUUCGGGAGGGCGCUUACCACUUUGUGAUUCAU
rnacentral:rRNA from 1 species